rnacentral:rRNA from 1 species
AGAGUUUGAUCCUGGCUCAGAACGAACGCUGGCGGCAUGCCUAACACAUGCAAGUCGAACGGGGGUUUUGCUUCGGCGGAGCCCUAGUGGCGCACGGGUGAGUAACGCGUGGGAACCUGCCCUGUGGUACGGAACAACUCCGGGAAACUGGAGCUAAUACCGUAUGCGUCCUGCGGGACAAAGAUUGUAUCGCCAUGGGAGGGGCCCGCGUAGGAUUAGCUUGUUGGUGGGGUAACGGCCUACCAAGGCAACGAUCCUUAGCUGGUCUGAGAGGAUGAUCAGCCACACUGGGACUGAGACACGGCCCAGACUCCUACGGGAGGCAGCAGUGGGGAAUAUUGGACAAUGGGCGCAAGCCUGAUCCAGCAAUGCCGCGUGAGUGAUGAAGGCCUUCGGGUUGUAAAGCUCUUUCGCACGCGACGAUGAUGACGGUAGCGUGAGAAGAAGCCCCGGCUAACUUCGUGCCAGCAGCCGCGGUAAUACGAAGGGGGCUAGCGUUGUUCGGAAUUACUGGGCGUAAAGGGCGCGUAGGCGGUGUGUCAAGUCAGGCGUGAAAGCCCCGGGCUCAACCUGGGAACCGCGCUUGAGACUGGCACGCUCGAGUUCGGGAGAGGAUGGUGGAAUUCCCAGUGUAGAGGUGAAAUUCGUAGAUAUUGGGAAGAACACCGAUGGCGAAGGCAGCCAUCUGGACCGACACUGACGCUGAGGCGCGAAAGCGUGGGGAGCAAACAGGAUUAGAUAC